UAAAAUAAUAUUGAUUUGAUUACAUAAAAGCAGCUUAUUAUUUAAGCAAUAUUAUUUAACAAAUAUUUUGUACGAUUUAAAAUGCAUUUUUGUCGAGAGUAAAUAACCCUUUUGCCCGAUCGCGUUUCAAUAAGUAAUAAAAAUCCGACGAUAAGAGGUAGCGCACUAUUGCUUGGACUACUAUCAAACGAUAUUGCGUCUGAAAUAAUGGAGGGGCCACUUUAUAAGGCCAUGCUACUGACGACGCGCGACAAUAAACCAGGCCAAGUACCAACUUAUACAAAUGAAACUAAUUAGACUGGGUCCUUCAAUCACUGGCUGAAUGGUCCCUUUAUCUGCGAAAAUUAAGCAUUCUGGCAAGGACAAAUUGGAGCGUAUAUCUCAACGGGAUUGCAAACUGCUAUGGAAUUACUCGAUAAAGAACAUGAUCUCGAUCCUUGCUUUCUUCGAAGUCGCUUGAUAAGACGAGAACGAGAUACGAAAUUGGCCGGACGGAAAGAUGCUGAACGUGCAUGAUUAUAUGCCGACGACGAUGACGACGACGACGACGACGACGACGACGAUUUCUUGCCAAUGAAUUAGCAUACCAGUCUCAGGCAGAAAUUUAUCCAAGGAAAACCGGCAUUGAGGAAUGUUCCUUUACGUCAAAUAUGUCACUAACGUCCGUAAACACAUUUCUGUUACAAGUUAAGUAAUGUUUUGUUCACGACGAUCGCGUGCUAUUUCUUUUUUUUUUCACGUAUCGAUCGAAUGAAAAUAACGCGGAAACGAGUCGUCGGAAGAAUGUUAAAUAAAUGUCGUUUCGCUUAUUUCAUUAUAUCGACGCGAUAGCAGUCUUCAUCAGUUCUGAUUCACAAAACUGGAGAAGAGAACAUAAAAAACAAAUGGUCAAAGAAAAACAUUUUCGUUUGACAAACGUUUUUAUCAGCUACACUUUUAUCAGAUUUCACUGAACUUAAAAAAGGUCAAUUCGUGAGAUCAACGUUUCACUUCAAAGGAUACUUUGCUAUUUAAAUAUAAUCACAUGGACAGUCCAGAAUUAAAACCCGAUAACGUAUUGAAUAAUACGAAUAGAUUAGAAUAAUCUGAUAAAAUAUACGACCAAAUGAUAUUAAAUCUUUUACGUUUCUACGAUUGUGAUUGUAACGAGUCUUUAGGGUUCUAAAAAAUCAAUUCCAAAAAAAAA